rnacentral:rRNA from 1 species
AGCAGCCGCGGUAAUUCCAGCUCCAAUAGCGUAUAUUAAAGUUGUUGCAGUUAAAAAGCUCGUAGUUGAAUUUCGGGGUUAGUAGGUUGGUCGUGCCACUGGUAUGCACUGGCCUCACUGAUUCCUCCUUCUUGAAGAACUGUAAUGCCAUUAAUUUGGUGUUGCAGGGAAACAGGACUGUUACUUUGAAAAAUUAGAGUGUUUAAAGCAGGCUAACGCUUGAAUACAUUAGCAUGGAAUAAUGAAAUAGGACGUUUGAUCCUAUUUUGUUGGUUUCUAGGAUUGACGUAAUGAUUAAUAGGGAUAGUUGGGGGCAUUAGUAUUCAACUGUCAGAGGUGAAAUUCUUGGAUUUAUUGAAGACUAACUACUGCGAAAGCAUUUGCCAAGGAUUGUUUUCAU